AAGAAGCCUCCGAAGUAUCCGCGAGCACGGUCCCAGAGUUGUGGGACUCGGAAGUGCGUCAUUUGCGGAGGUAAACAUGACCUGAACCAUUGCAAGCAAAAAGAGGGAAGAUGCUUCACGUGUGGUCAGGCGGGGCACAUUAGCCGCCACUGUCCAAGGAGGACCUCGCCUGUCCCGUCUGUUGCAUCGUCUUGGGCGAUUUCGGGCCAUUAUGGAGGAGCCCCACCUACUGUUGCUUUAGCUGGACACGCGAUGGCACCUCGUCAGCCUGAGGUGGCCCAGUCGACUCCGAGUGACCAGGUGUUUGCCGCUCAAGUCGAGGAACAUGCUGCUGUCGAAGAUGCCAUGGCAAGUAUGGUUUAGUUGCAGCAAAUGUGUGUUUCUGCAUGAUGUUAAAUUGGUGCAUUGCAUGCAUUUGCAUGGUCAGUUGCUACUAUUUAUGCAUUAGUAUAGUAGGGACCAGUGGACGGGUAGGUGAGGGUACCCGGGCAUGCUUGUGUGAGAGAGUAUAGCGUCUGCUGGAGCAGGUAGAAAGCUAGACGUCACUAGCAAAUUGCUAGUAGUGGCCUAUGGACGAGAAAUGAGACUCGUGGUGUAGCUGAAAUGGUGAGGCGACUCUCAAGGCAACAUGCUCAGUAGAUUGCGAGAGUUGAGCACAUGGGCCUAGUAGUACCUUAAGGUGAGGUAGGCGGCUGUGCUUGUGCGGCCGGUGUGCAUAGGCAAGAUUGCCUAAUGCUAGAUUUCGUGUGGAACGCUAUAGAGGCGUAGAGCGCUCGAGUGUAAUUACUCGUGGAGUGCGGAUUUUAUUCAGCCGGAGGAGUGAGAUGGCAGUAGCACUGUAGCAUUGCUAAGUGUGAAGCAGGCCAUGGGUCACUCGUGGGGCUGAUGGCUCGCACUAGGUGCUUAGGAGACGAUAGUGGUACGUCUGACUCGGUAGAACAUGUCGUGUAGGAUGAUGACGGCGGGUAGUGCUUAGGGACGACCCGUGCCUGGGCCCAUUGGGUAGGCACAGUCGGCUGCGAGUGGCAGCGGCCCGGUACCUACGGGUAGGGCAGAGUUUUGGUCAGGAUGGUAGUCCGAGCAUAGACCCGGGAGCGUGGAAUGCCACGUGUGGAUUACGAGAUCGAUGACACACCGAGUGUGCAGUAACCCAACCCGAGGACUUGACGUGGUUUAGGGGUCAUAGUUGCUCCUAGUCGGAGUGUGUGCGAAUUCCCAAGUGAGAAUUUCGCCCAGUAGUGUUGAUUGGGUCCACGCUUGCGAGCGAGAGACGCUACGUGUUGAGAUAGGUUUGGGCGGCAGAUCUACGUAUGGUUGGUGACCUUUGGUCCACCCAUAGAAAGCCAAGGUGAGCGGUUUGGCCGGUGACUUUGUCGAGGAGUUUGGCUCGGAUUCGCGAACAAAGUGUUCAUGUGAAUUCAUUGCAGGAACGAAUUGAUAUCAGCCGCGGCAAUGGAAAGAGAAAGUAAAGUGGUCUCUUGGAGACACUUGGAUAUUGGAUUGCCACACGAGAUCUGAGAAUAUGCUCUCUAGAGGAUUAACAUUGGAGAUGUGCCGAAGGGUGCCAUCUCGUAGUAAAGCAAAUUCAAUUGUGAUAGUGGCACUUGCGAUGGGUCGAUGCACCAAUGAUAUUGCUUCUAGGCAAUGCCAGUGAUCGAAUCGAAGUAUAUUCCCUAGAUUCGGUCGCAAGUAGUGUUGGAGCGUGUAGAGUUGUCGAGUGUCGACCUACGCUGCCACCAAGACUUGCGGAACCGUAAUGCACUUUUGGUGUUGUGCUUAGCAAAUGUGAGUGAAUUUCCCGGUAUAUCCGUUAGGGACCGCACUGGUUGUAGGCCUCGCGUGAUGAACACACCCCGAAGGUAGUGUUCUAAAUUGUCUGGCACUCGUACUAGUUUAGGAGAUUCGAGCUCCUAUGGGACAGGAGAUCACGAUGUUAGUAGUAUAUCAGGUAUCCAAAGUAUAUGUGAUACUGAGUGUACACAGUAAACAAGAAAACGAAUGAUAGUUGAUUUACGGUGAGCAAGUAAACAAAUGAUAGUUGAUCUACGGUGAGCAAGUAAUAAGUAGUAAAAGAGAUGUAAUAUCCUAAGUGUUUUGAGCUGGGUUAGGAGUGGUUAGGAGAUGUAGGUUAUGUACGAUGCCAUAAUAGUUCCCUCCGUAUUCCUUUCCGUUAUGUAUGAUUAGGAUAUUACGUUAUUAUGUUCUACGUCCUAGCUUUAUAUGAUUCUGUAUCCUCCCUCGGGCUAACGAAGCCCUACCUGUGGUGGGUGGAGAACCGCUACGGCACUAUCAUCUUUUGAGCUGCAACCCCAAGAACAUGCGGCGAAAUUGAGGAGCCCCGCUUCGCUCGGGAGCUCAUGGGCUAAGCCGCUAAAGAGGCGUGGGCGAGCAGCCUAGCUCUUUGGCUGAAGCGGCUGCGCAAGGCCCUGGAUCGUUAAUCCAAACGCUGGAUAAUCUAAUCUAGUUUUGGGAUCUAAAUGGUUUUUGGGUUAAGGCACGGGAUCCUACCGUUGCCCCUUCUUUAGGCACCACGCUCGAAGUUAACGCUCGAGCUUGGAAGAGGGAUCAAGGUAAUCCAGGGUAAGUUUGGUAUUUUUGGGGUUUUGGGAUCUUUGUGGUAAUUUCCCAAAUCUCGAAUGGGGAUGUGUUCCAAGGAAGUUCGAACUCCCUCUCCCUCUCUUCUUCUAUAGAAGAAGAAGAAGAAGAAGAAUCAGAAGAGAAAGAGAAAGAAGAAGAAAGAGAAGAAGAAGAGGAAGGAGAAGAAGAAGAGGAAGAAGAGAAAGAAAAGAAAAGAAAGAAUCUCUCUCUCUCUUUUCUCCCAUUCUCUCUCUCUCUUUCGUCGACUCUCACUCUCUUUCUCACUCUCUCUCAACCUCUCGUUACUCCCUUUCUCUCCCUAGGGGGUGGAGAUUAUUUCCGGUAAAACGUCAAUCGGGGGAGUUGAAAAGUAGGAAACUUAGUCGGGAGAGACCCGUAAAAGCGUCACUCCCUGGCCAGGGUCGAGCCCUUCUGGCCAGGGGCUUCCGACGGGAAAGCUCGUCUCCCCUAAAGCGCAAGCCCUUGGCCAGGAAUGGACUCUCUGGCCAGGGGCCCUCUGGCCAGGAACAGGCUCUCUGGCCAAGGGCUCUCGACGUAGGAGCCCUGAAUCGGUUUAAACCGAUUCAGAGCGGUCCGGUUGCAAGCCCUUGGCCAGGGACGGGUGGUCCCUGGCCAGAGUAGUCUCUGGAGGCGUUGGUGCGGACUACCUUGGCCAGGGAGGGACGGUCCCUGGCCAGGGGCUCUCGUAAAGACGAGGUCACGUUCAAAACGUGACCACGAGAGCGCCUGGAGAGGAAUUACGUGAAAUGCGUAAUAUUUGUGGAAGCCUGAAAAGCUUCGGAUGAGUGAGCUGCUUAUCAGCUAAGACCAGCUUCAGAUUAGGAGCUCAAAGCUCUUAAGUGAAGGAAUGUCAAAUCGUCGUGCCAUGUCUAUAUAUAGCAGACGGGACAGAGAGUGUCUUUUAAGAUUUAGAAGACAAAAGCGAAGGUAAAGUUGUGCCCAGUGAGAUCUGAAUAUUAAAUACAGAUAUUCAGGUUAUUUUUAUCAUAUGGUGUGAUAAAAAUAAAUAAAAGUGAAAAUGUAAAUUUUAAGCCAUGGAAUGUAGGAGGGGAGGAAUUUUCCUCAAAGCAGGAGCUUUGAGUUUAGAGUAGAGUUAAGCUCAAAAGCUCGUAGGCUUCCAUUGUUACGUGAAAACGUGAGGCCUCACCGGAAAAAGAAUAGCCUUGAUAGGUUUCCGGGUGAUGUCUCCUAUACUCUGGNNNNNNNNNNNNNNNNNNNNNNNNNAGCUAGCUAACGGGCUGAGCUCAAUAGUGUAAAACCCUUGGCCCUGUUCUUCACAAGUGGAUAGCUCGAACGUUCUCGAGCACGAAGGGGCACUACCAUAGCCGCUGUUCUCGCUCCUUCGACCACUCGUCGCCAACGUACCGAAUAAACCGCUGGCAACAUCUCUAACUGGCUCGCCAAGGUUAGGAGCUCCUCAACCUCCAACACGCCCUCAAGGGGCUACACAAAGGGCGCCUCAAUGGCCCAUACGGCGGCCUGGCCCUCUAGCUCAAGUACUAACUGAACCAUGGGCCGUGGCGCGGCUAAAGAUUCCGGGGCAUAGCGUACCGCGGCCGGCUCGAUUCCCUCAACUCUCUAGUUAACGUCCUAGAAGAGCUGUUCCUUAAGUAAUCCGGCUCGCAAAGCGGCACCCCACGGGGCCAUACGUAAUACUUCGAGAGCCAAUCCAUGCCCAAUAUGACAUCGAACUCUUUCAGCUUCUUGAGCACCAACAAGUCGAUCGGCAUAACCCAGUCAUUCACUUGCACUGGGCAUGCCAAGCAUCGCUUCCUAACCAUAAAGGAUCGCCCGGGGCCCUCGACAUGCCAAACAUGCUCCCCAGGACAAUACUCAAUAUCAUGCGCACGUGCAAAUGACCGACUAAUAAAUGAGUGUGAUGCGCCAGUAUCAAAUAAAGCUCUAGCUCGAACAUCUUUAACCAAAAUUAUACCUGCCACAACAUUGCGCUCCUCGGCUGCUGAAGGCUCCUCCAUAUGAACUGGAGCGGCAUACAUCCUCCCGCUCGGCGCUGAUCGUGCAGGCUCUGGCUGGCGUGGCGCCGCUGCUCGCCCGGUAGAUGCUGCAGGAGGGGGCAGAGCAUAACGAGCUGGAACUGCCGGGGCCGAGGCCGUCGACAUAGCGGGCGAAGCUCCUCCUUGAGGACAAUUGCGAAUCUGAUGCCCCGCUUGCCCGCACUUGAAGCACCUCCCUCGGCGUUGCUCACAAACAUCCGGCCGGUGGUCUCCGCCGCAGAAGAUACAUCGCUCAGCACCACGACCCUUGGCCUGAGAGCGCGGAUACUUCGGGGGCCUCCUGGAGCUAGACUGACCACCCGAUCCACCGCCCUGCCUUUUCUUGGUUUUGUCCUUGUCGUACAACUCACGGUCCUCACGCUCGCAAGCGUUCCCGUGCUCGAACCAUAGGGCGCGAUCUAGUGCUGCCGCCAGUGUAGGGAACUUGAAGGCAUGCACCAACUUGAACACUCCGGGCCGAAGCCCUCGAACAAAACAAUCCGCCCGGUCCUGCUCGGUCGUCGCCACGUCCGGGACACAACUCAGGAGAUGGGUGAACUCCCGCUCGUACUCCCGAACCGUGCGAUUGCCUUGCUUGAGCUUGCGAAAGUCUUCCCACAUCCUUCUCUUAUCACUGUCGGGGAAGUACUCGGCGAACAUCAGCUUACGGAACUCCGCCCAAUCGAUCGGGGGAAGCUCCGGGGAUCGGUCCUGCUUGACUCUCCUCCACCAAGUCCUGGCCCGCUUCUCGAAGCAAUGCGCUGCCAAGUUCACCUUGUCCUUCUCCAAGGUGAAGAUGUCCUCAAAAAGAGUCUCCAUAGCCGUCAGCCAAGACUCUACCGUCGCUGGAUCCACCACCUCUCCGUCGAAAGUAGGCGGACGAAACUUCGUGAACCUCGUGAGCGCCAUGUAGCCGCGCUCACGCUCCGCCUCCUCAGCCGCCAAUACGGGGGUAGGAGAACUCGAACUAGCCGGAGGAAUAUCCACCGGUGGGGGUUGCGCCGCCACCGGAACCGAAACGCCACCCACACCCUCGGCCACAUCAGGGGCGCGAGCCGAAGGCGCAGGCGGACCGCGGCCUAGAUCCGCUGCCGCAGCCGCCGCCGCAGCCUGCUGCUCCAGCAGCUCCUGAAUCCUAUCGAACCGUCCUGUGAGCGUCGCAACCUGCACUCGCAACUCCUGCACCUCAGUAGGCCCAGCUGGCACUGGCGCCACUGGCGGCACGGCUGGCCCGGGCACCUCGUGAGGUGGUGCCGGAGCGGUCCUACGCACGUAGCGUCUCCUUGGUGCCAUAGCUCCUGAAACGCAAACAGUUGGUUAAUUACUUAACCCAAUAUCGUCGUAAACGCGAAACAUAACGAUUAAACAACAUUAAUCAGGCGGUAAGCUCGCAAGUGUAUUAGUUCUCGACUCUCGGCAUCGUGUUGUCGGCCGCAAACACAACACCUUAAGCCAAAAAUUAAUACCACUUGAAUCAUCUCUAGCCAUAACUAGAGUACAACACCAACUUCAAACCCACUCGAUUAGCUUCCGCCGCGUCAUAGGUUCACGUCGCACUCACGCACCUAUAACCUUAGGGUUAACCAACCUAGAGUCUCCUAGGUCAUCCUAGACUCUCUCUUUUGCUUGCUCUUAACUCGCUCUGAUACCACCACUGUCACGCCCCACGACCGCACGGCCCGAAAACGGUACCAAUUUGGUCCGAUUCGAGGGCGGCGGCGCGACCGCCGAACGGACAGAGUCUCCCCUGUCCGCCCUAGGCUCAACAACGAGAUUGUGUACAACAAGUCCCCAGGAAAACAACUUGAAUUCAUACACAAUCAAACAACGAUAAACGAGAGCACAAACAGUGCUAUACAACAACUAGAGCAAGCGAUACAAGUAAAAUCAUACAAGUAUACAAAAGAGAGAAACUUANNNNNNNNNNNNNNNNNNNNNNNNNNNNNNNNNNNNNNNNNNNNNNNNNNNNNNNNNNNNNNNNNNNNNNNNNNNNNNNNNNNNNNNNNNNNNNNNNNNNNNNNNNNNNNNNNNNNNNNNNNNNNNNNNNNNNNNNNNNNNNNNNNNNNNNNNNNNNNNNNNNNNNNNNNNNNNNNNNNNNNNNNNNNNNNNNNNNNNNNNNNNNNNNNNNNNNNNNNNNNNNNNNNNNNNNNNNNNNNNNNNNNNNNNNNNNNNNNNNNNNNNNNNNNNNNNNNNNNNNNNNNNNNNNNNNNNNNNNNNNNNNNNNNNNAGCUCAAGGCUAACGAGCAGCUGCGAACGUUAGCCGGAGGGCGCCGUGAGCCGCGGGCAAACCCGGGCUAGAGUGUCAACGAGAGGUUCUCGCGCAGCGAAGCGGCAAAGUUCACGAUUGCUAGAAGCGGAGCGGCAAUGCUACGAGCUCUGGGCUAAAGUGCUAAAUACCUACAGCGUAGCCGGAGGGUCCGCCUUUGCUUCGAGGUUUGCAGGCAAAGAAGUUAUAGAAACAUUGCCGAGCAGCCUAACGGCUUGGCAGAAGCGGUUGCACAUUUAAGUAGUUCCGGUGAGGUUGCGGUGGAAUGUAAUAUACCGGAUUUUAAAUGUAAAAGUGUAAAUAAAUAAAAAUAGUGUGGGAUACUAUUUUUAUUGGACUUAUAGACAUAAAUUAUAAGUCUAGAGUGACCCGUGUUGAAAUGGAAGCGAAAACAGAAGAUUUAGAAUUUUCUGUGAGAGACAGGGCAGACGAAUAAUAUCUGUACCGUGCUGCUAAACUGAAUGUGAAUAGUAUUCUUGGAUAACUUGGAGGCCAAGUUUCCUAGAUAACUUGGAGGCCAAGUUUCCUAUGAAACUUGGAGGCUAAGUUUCCUAUGACACUUGGAGACCAAGUUUCCUAUGAAACUUGGAGGCCAAGUUUACUAUAUAUAUAUAGGGGACUUGAGCAUUUUCUUUCUUUCUCCCUCACACUUACAACCAAAGAGAAAUAUCUCUCUCUCUCCAACAAUUUCUCCACCAAAGAGAGGAAUUGGAGGUGCAUUUGGAGAAGAAAAAGGUUGCUUGGAGGUGAAGUCUUCAUCCUCUUCAUUACUUGGUUUGAGGAAAAGCUUAUGUUUGAGGUGCCUAAACGCGUGUGAAGCGUCGGUUCGUCGAUUCGUCGAGCAGGUGCGACCAAAGAGUAAAGCGGCGACUAGGGAACGUGCAAUUGAGAACCUAGCCUCGUGAUAGCGGUAAAAGGUGGGGGGAGUCAUACCGAAACAUCCGGGCUUCCUUUUAUGUCUAAGUUUUAUUUUGAUCAUAUUCAUAUAUUGAUAUUGUGCAUUAUAGGAUUACUAGAUGAUUACAUUCCAUUUCCUUGCAUGUUUCCUAUGGUAGUGUAGCAUUAUGGGCUUGACACUUGAACUUAGGUUGCAUGAGGAUUGGGUCAUGUGACAAGAAUCCUAUAGUGACAAGAAUGAUGAUGAACUUGGACUUGUGAUGAUGAAAACAAGCGACAUUGAAUUAGUAUAGUAGAGAUACUAUAAUGUGAACAAGUGGCAUGUCAAUUUAGUGUAUUGAGGUACAUAUAACAUCAUGACAUAAAUGAGUGGCAUCAAAUCUAGUGUAGUGAAACACUAUGGCAUUUGAACCUUGGGAUAGUAGAUUUUUCCUAUUGUCAUGUUGUAGACAUUAUGCAUUUGGCAUAUCUAGUCUCACAUCCUCCGAGGUGGGCCUUUGAACAGUUCCAAUAAGUGAAAGGCCACUCCGAGGUGGGAAAGUGCAUUGAAAUCCCCGAUUGCUCGAUAAACCGAGUUGGAGUAUCGAUUGGGUUGAAGUGAGCUAGUUUCGAGGACGAAACUCUUUUAAGGAGGGGAGAAUGUAAGGUACCGAACUUCUAAAAAUAUGAAGUUACAGUGUACAUUUAAAUGGUUCCGGUAAGGUUGCGGUGUAAUGUAAUAUACCGGAUUUAAAUAUAAAAAUAGAAAUAAAUAAAAAUAGUAUGAGAUACUAUUUUUAUUGGAUUUAGAGAAGUGAAAUAUAAGUUGGGAAUGACCUGUGCUGAAAUCGGAAUUAAAACAGAAGAUUUAGAAUUUUCUGUUGGAAACGGGGCAGAUAAAUUAGGAGAAAAUGCACAGUCUCAGAAAAUUAUGAAAAUUGGCAGAGAUGUCAGAAAUAUUUUUAUGAGGCUAGAUUUAAGGUUUCAUAUUUUUCUGACACCCGUAGAGCGAGAAAUAAAAUCUGAUAGCUAUCUGAUAAAGAUUGCAGUUCGGUACAGUUUUCAGUGACCAAACGAGGUCGAAACUGAAAUAUUAAAAUUUCUUUGGACAUACGAAGUGAAACCGAACUUGCCUGCCAAAUUUGAGCUCAAACGGACAUCCGGAAGAGCUCCAACGAAAUUUAUCAGAUUUAAUUUCAGCUGCCCGGGAUAAAUAGUGUUUGAGGGGUGUUAAUUAUAAGAGAAGCAGCAGCUUCUUCUUCUCUCCUUCGGCGCACCCACACACGCACACAACGCCACACACCGAACACGCAGUGGAGAGAGGAAGAAAGAGAACGCCUCCUUUUCUCGUCUCUAAAUCUCUCCAAAAAGAGAGGGUUUUGGUGAGAUUGAAGCUCAGGGGUGGGUUUCAAUCUUCAGUGGUCUUUCUUCCUCUCCAUUGGAAGAUGCUUUGAAGUGAAAGCUUUAAAGAGCUUUAAUGGCAUUAUCUCUUUGCUUGGUUUAAAAGCUCUAGAAAACGAAUUAAGUACUUUCCUAGAUGCUAAGUAGAUGAUUUAUGGCUUAGAUCCUAAGUUCAAUGUGGAUUUACCUAAUGAAACCUAGAGGCUCCAAAAUGAGGGCUUUAGAUGGUAGACUCUAAAGAAAGGUCUAAAAAUGCUUUGGAAUGGUUUUAGUGGAACCAUUUGAUGCCUAAUAGAUGGUUAAUGCUGAAUCAUAGAGGCAAAUUUAAUGAGUUCUUUGGCAUAGUUGUAAACUAGGGCUCAAAAAUGUCUAACUUUCAAAACCUAUGAGGGUUUGAUCUCUAAUUAACCCUCUGUUUACCAUNNNNNNNNNNNNNNNNNNNNNNNNNAAAGAGAGAGAUCUCCAAGUGAGAAUGCGCUCCAGCGGGUAGUGUGAUUCGGGUCGACCACGCUUGCGAGAGAGAGACCUACGGUGUUGAACGGUUUGGCAUCAGGCUCUAUGUAGAAUUGUGACUGUUGGUCCACCUGUGGAAACCAAGGUAAC
rnacentral:lncRNA from 1 species